rnacentral:rRNA from 1 species
GACGAACGCUGGCGGCGUGCUUAACACAUGCAAGUCGAACGAAGUGGCGAACGGGUGAGAAACGCGUAAUUAACCCGCCCUUCAGUGGGGGACAACAGUUGGAAACGACUGCUAAUACCGCAUACGGAAGGAGGGGAUUGGGUGUGAUGGGAUAGUUGGAGGGGUAACGGCCCACCAAGGCGAUGAUCAGUAUCCGGGCUGGUCGGAUGAACGGCCACAUGGGGACUGAGACACGGCCCAGACUCCUAAGGGAGGCAGCAGUGGGGAAUCUUCCGCAAUGGACGAAAGUCUGACGAAGCAACGCCGCGUGAGUGAUGACGGCCUUCGGGUUGUAAAGCUCUUUUAAUCGGGACGCGGUACCGGAAUAGAAAGCCACGGCUAACUACGUGCCAGCCGCCGCGGUAAUUC